ensembl:lncRNA
GAGAGAGAGAGAGAGAGAGAGAGAGAGAGAGGGCUGCUUUUCAAUAUUGUGUAUGUAUGUAUAAGCUAAAUACAAUCUUGUGUAUGUAUGUAUAAGCUAAAUACAUAAACAUUAAUAAGUGAGAACGCCCUCAUAACCAUGGUGUUAUGGUGAACGCUUACACCUAAUGGGUGUCAUUACACCCACUACUUUUUCACCUAUUUUGCCAACAUCAUCCUGGCUGUGAUUCUCGACACGGCCAGACAGGUUCGCUGUUGCACAGUUGAUAAAGAACCUAUAUUGGGUGAGGGGACUAUGUUGUAAAAUCUUCCAAAUAGUUACAUUUGGAUAAUUCCUUUCAUUGUUUUUAAGAAAUACUCGUCAUGGCUGAGGCUGAUAUGGACAACUUUACCUACGGAUUGUCUACACAUCUCAAGGUUGUUGUUUCUUUUCGAAAACCAAGACGUGCUGUUUUGUUCUGAGACUGACUUGCUUUUGCUGCAAGUUCUGACGUUAGCUGAACGGCUAAUCCUAAAAGUCACGUCACUUUUUAGAUUCCUAUUAAAAGUUAACUUCAUCGUGUGGCCACCGUACACGGAUGCGAUUUGAACGCCUAAUUCAAACUCGAUGUUGAAUGCUUUAAUUUCUUUUGGCAACGUUUUCGUACGUGCUGUAUAUUCGUUAAAAACAGUAAGAUAGCAAUCGUGACUACAAAUGACCAAUGACAGAUUUACAUUUAUCAUAAUAAGGUAACCCUGCGGAGGUCGACAAUGCAAUAGACCAAGGAAAGUGGCGAUAUUCCCCCGCUGACUUGGCGGCUCUGGGCUCGUUUCAUGUGAGGCCUGCGGGUUCGGGCUUCCACCGAGCUUGGGUAGAGCCCUGCGCCGCGUUUGAGUGACUGGUGUCCGGAAACUGAAGCUGCCAGGUCCCGGGCCAGAAAGCCUCAGAAUGGAACGGAUGGAAGUGGACCAGUGCGCAGGCGCAACUGGGGGAGCAGGAGGCGGGGCCCUCCGUAGAUCGAACAGCGCCCCCAUGAUCACAAGUGUGAGCAGCGACGGCAUGACGGUGUUCGGCCCGGUCAGCUCGGCCCGUUACCGGCGGAGCAGUGUCUCUGUCAACCCCAGCUGUCCUUCCCGGCAAAUUCCCUUGUCUCCGUUCUCAUUGACCAAUGACAGACUAGAACACAAGACACAGGAAGAGAACAUGGAAACGGCACUGAGAGGAAGUCUUCGGCGACUCAGUUCUUCCACUCUGAUCCCGUUGCCUUCGUCCAGCCAGUGGCACCAUCACUCCCCAGGGGGUUUUCACGCUGGGCAAGAUGGCGGUGUCACUCCUAAUUCAUCCCCCAGCCCCACUCGGAGGUUCAGGCCAGUGACGAGCUCCACAGUGACGAGCUCUACAGUUACGAGGCCUAUGCUGACUGCUCUGAAGAGGAAAGGAGGGGUGGAGUCUGACGGCCCUCCAAAGAAGCUUUUUGUUGCUGGGGUAACAGAUCCCGCCCACCACAAUAAUUACACAGUCAGUGUGUCUCAGGCGGUUGUGGGUUCCCCCCCGGGUGGAGGUGUAGUGUUGUGCUCCAGCCCCCAGGACAGCCCCCUAUCCCUCUCCCCACCUCCCUCCUUCAGCUCCCACCACCCCAGACACUAGCCCUCCUACCCCAGACCCCAGCACCACCACCUCCACCACUACCACCACCACCAGCCCCACCCAGCUCCAUCAGCCUAUCAGCACUUCUGCCUCACUGAAGAACAGGAUGAUUACCUCGGACAUCGGACGGUAAUCACAACCACUUUUCAUUCGUUCUUUUUUUGCGUGACUAGGAGCCAAUCAGACACCUUCAAUUGUGAUCAAUGUCCCGCCCAUCGACUGCUGUACCAUUGGAGUUGACCAGACGUUGUGGUGCUUUGUUUUUGCUCUGUGAUCACGUGACAUGUGAUCACACGCCCACGUUGGACCCUGCGUCUGCUGGACAGAGCCUACUCUUGGACCGCGAGCAAAAAAACUAAACGUUGAGGUCAUCUGGCGGGAGUGUUGAUCAUGGACUUGACAUGGUCUUCUUUAGUUUGAUAGAGGAAGUACACGCAGGGAGAAGGAAAGGAUGCUGCUAGGAGUGCUAUCGGUCCAGCUGCUCAGACAUCUCCGCUGUGGUCUGUUUCCCAUUGAGUGGGGAGUCGACAUAGGGGACCUUGCAUUGUUGUGCUGUUGGGAUACAUGAAGGGCUCACACCUAGAUAGCCAGGGGGUGUAGUUUAAAUUGGAUUUGACUGCUCAAACUAGACCGAACUUCUGUAUUCUUAACUUUCCAUAUUUGGAAUGUUUUGAUGGCGAAACGCAUUUAACUCCGAAACGCGUUCUGUUUGAGUUCUUGAGUUCUAAUCAAGAUGUUGGGAGCCGUGCGGGGCAGAUAAAACCUUUCAAGUUAGACUAGGGUGGAUGAUUAUUAAGAACAGUAAACGAAAACCAAAUCAGAGAAAACCCGGUUCCGUUCUGUACUGUCUCCACGCUAUAUCAUCAACGUUCUUCUGCCAGAGCCAUGUUCAAGGCACGUCACUCUACUCCUGUGUACGUGUUGCUUAGUGACGUAAAUUCUAGUUUCUCCAGUAUAUACGUUUCUUCCAGAAGUGUCUUCAAGUCGCAUCUACGCCUCAGUUCUCAGUACCUAGGUCAGAGCCGAGAUUCGGUUUAAUGACCGUUGAAAAGACGCACCAUUAAACGUCGGUUAUGAAGGGCUUUAGCUGAACUAUCUGAGGGGGUUUUGGGUGGAAGGAAGCACCCAUGUAGUGGAGCCCUUUGGCUCUGUGUUUCUAUGUUGAUAUUGUAUCUAUAUGUGAAUACUGUACACAUGAACCGGAUUCGCUACGACUAGCAUUCCUGCCUUUUUCUUUAGCCAGGGGUAUUCUUUUGUUUUAUUUUGUAUAGUGAAUCCCCCAAACAAAUCUCUUUACGUGUUUCCUUUUUACAGUAGUUUGUAUGAAGUAUCCAAAACUACACGUCAUAAGCACGCGAGAUGUCAAAAAGAGGUCUUACAAGCGGGCUUUGAGAAUGCAUGCAUUCCUCAGUAUCACAUCAUCGUUCAUUUGUAUUUUUAUGUGUUUUAAUGUGGUCUUGGUUUUCAGAACGAAGCCCUCAUUUUUUCAUAACAAUGGAAAUAGAAGAUUUCCUGAGCUUAUUCCAUCUAAUUCCUUUUGGUGUCGAAAGGCCUGAAGUCAGAUGUAGUCGCUUUAUGCACCGGGAAUAAUGCAAGAUAUUUAAAGCUAAACAACAAACCAAAAUAAGUAUCAUAAGUAUUGAUAUGAGUGAAUGACAACAUACAUUUGAUAUGUUGUCACGUGCUCGUAAAAAUGUGACGUUGAAAAAAAAAAAAUCUGCUUUAUGUGACUUUCCACUUUUUAAAUAUGUAACUAUUUAAAAAAAUAAGAAUUUAAAAGGAACAGAUUUUAGUCACUUUUACCAGUUUGCACAUUAUUAGAUACAGCAUCGUUUUUUUUCCAUCUUUAUGAGCAAUGUUCCAUAAAGUGUGCAGCACAAAAUUGUACGCAAUAUUUGCUUAGUGUUAUUAUUUUUUUAUUAUUUUCCUGAAAAGUAAUUUGUAAACUCAAAAGUGUAUCUGUUAUGGAUCAAAGACAUUGUUGUUGGUUGGAUGGAAUAUUAUCUGUUGUUUUGCUUUCUUGUUGUCCAGCUGUGUUUUGGGAUUUCAAAAAAAAUAUUUUUUUCAGGACAAUCACUAGGAAUUCCUGAGUUAGAGGAAUUAGCAUUUUCCCAAGCCAAUUUUCUUAAAAGGAUCCUAUGUCUAAGUGUUGUGAAUUGCUAUCUCGAGAAGUACCGUUUGUAAAGUAAACAGUGUAAUGCUUGCUGUGGAUGGAAGUUCAACAUUUCUUUAUUAACUAUCAUAUUGUAUAUUUUUUCAGUCAAUAAAGUUCUAGCCCAUCAGGAUACACUGCUGUACACAUAAAUUGCCAAACCCAAUAUUUAUACUUUCUUUGUUGUAUAGUCAUGUCGUUCAGCUUUAAUCCUGUUUAAAGUGUUUUCUGUCCAUUCAGUGGAUUAGCUCGAUGUAUCUAAGGCUAAAUUAAAUCAUCCUGGAAGUCCUUUGUAUGGAUUAGACCUCUGAAGAUAAUAUUUUGUUUGAGGUGAGAAAAUGAAAAGGUCUUAUUGUGUACUUCUCAUUCUGUGCAGUGGGAGUUAUUGUGAUUGUUAACAUACAGAUAGGUUUCCCAUUUAAAUAAGAAGAGGCUUGUUUGUCUGUGUUUGAUACAUGUGCUCGGCAGAGUUUCAAUAUCUUGGGAUGACAAGAGGUGACAGCAACACUAUAAUCUGGAGGUCUGUGUCCUUGGGAGAUCAGUGUCCUCGGGCUCUAUGUCUUUCGGAGGACUUCACAGAGUACUUUAUCUCACAGGUUAUUUUUGGCCUUCGUCAGCAAUACAUCUACAAAACCUCUUCAUUCUGGUUUAAAUCAAUACUAUUCCUCAAACCGCCAUACUCUUCCGUAGUCCCAGAAAAAUCAGAUAAUGCCGAAAUCCAAAGAUAUUCUCCAAUUUCGAGACGCAUUGUUUUCUGAAUGUUAUCAUUUGAACUAAAAAUGUCACGGUACUCCAUACGACGAUUGAGAGCAUACGUGAAACACGUACACUUUUGAAGCAAGCAAGGGUAAACUAAAAUGCUAGUCCAAAUGUAUUUACAUUUCCUUGCUCUGGAUGGAUUUUCCUUACUGGUUUCACAGUUGUUGCCGUGUUCUUGUCGAAGGCCUUUUAAUUUCCUAUGGUUGCAAUCAUCAUAUUUCUGUUUUUAUGAGUAAGGUGGAAUGGGAUUCUACCCUGGAAUGCGUCUGUGUUAUGACAUCACUGUGGUGUUGAGAUCCAUGUGUGUUUGAGGUCUGGCAAACCGUGGACGUUCAUGUGUCACGCCCAUCUGUUUCUUGGGAUACGUUCAACUCUGAAAUGUAAAUGCCCUUAAAGCCCCGAAGCCAUUGAUUACAAUGAUUCCUGAACUCUUAAAUUGAUAUUGAGUGUUGAAGGAAGCAGCUUCAGCAUACAUGUUAUUAGGACAGAAUCAUGAGAAAUGUAUUGUGAAAGCACAUCUACAACUGCACAUAGCUAUUUUUCUUUCUCUACAUAUGACAAAAUAUUAUGUAUUUUUUUAAAUAUAUAUAUUUUCAUUCAUUCCAUUCUGAGUGUCCCCUGGCUGUAAUAUGUACAAAGAAUGAUACAUUUUAUAGUGAAAAUAAUGCAAAUACACCUUAUUAUAUAUUGUAUAUGAAAAGUAUUGAAUAAAUUGUAUUAUACCAAAGCCUUUUUAUGAAUUUCUUAUUUUUUCUGGCCUUUCCAAGUCCAAGGGAAUCAAAUAGCUAAAUGUCUUUGAGGUAGAAGGUAGGUAGUUCUCACUAUUAGAACAUCUGCACAAACUGUAUGUGUAAAUAUACUGUACAUAUGAGACGCGAGACCGUUUUAGUUUUUACUAAACAGCAUGAAAAGUCGGUUAAUACAUUACUCAUGGCAGGUGUUGGUAUAUUGAAACGAUUAUCUUGAUUAUCAUAAGGUACACAGUAAGCUCUUCAGGGGGGAAUAGGUGCCACUAUACAAUGUCAAAUACACCACAUCAUCUACACACACAUUUUUCUUUUUAGGAAACCUUUGAUAUGUUGACCAUCAUUUAACAACCUUCUUAAAAUUAAAAUACUGGUCUGGUAGAUUAAUUCUAUCAAAUUAAAGCCUAUAACUCCAUCAAUCUGAACAUAAUUCUUAAUGAAACCAGAGCACUAUGUCGUUGUGUUAGCAUGACAUAUGUAUAAUAUUUAAACAGAACCAGUUGUGAUUUCAGAUCCUCCAGCCAUGUAUGUGAAAAUGGAUAUCUGAUUUUAACAGACCCAUAUUCAAACUGACUAGGCAAAAACAAUAUUGUUCAUAAUUUUGUACACAAACCUUAAAAAAUAAAAAAGUUAUGUGUUCGCUAUAUCAAAGUAUUGUGUCUUCUUCAACCAAGAGCGUCCAUUGUGUUAUAUAAAAGUACUAAAAUCUUUGUAGUGGCUGGCUGGUUACUACUAUUCCUACCCAUAACUAACAAAAAGCUACAAUUUGAUACGCUAUUUAUCCGUACAUAUUUUUUUCCUAAAAGAUAAAUAACAAUAAAAAUGGUCUUGAAAACCCGCUCCCCCCCUCCCCACACGAAAAGAAAACGAGUAAUGUUCGUUUUGACAACCGAGUAAUGUUCGUUUUGUUUAUGGUCAGAGUUCUGUCCAGGAUAGUUUCACACAGAACGACAGAACCGUAGCUCGGAAGCUCCUGAGCCUGGGUCCCCUCCAGGGCCCGGCUGAUUCAGUCUGCUUGGUUUCGGGGGGUCCUUUGGGAGCAUCCUCAAGUCGGAGACUCGGAGCGGCGCGGUGCGGAUCUCAGCGGGAAAGCAGAGGGAGAUCGCUGGAGUUCAUGAUGAGGCUGGAGUCCAGGUUGAGGCUCUCUGGAGGUGGGGGAGAGGGGAGAGGAGGGCUGGUUAGAUGGCUGAGGGGGAACAGAGCGCGUCACCUUGGCAUUAGUGCCACGUCCCCCUGCC